UUUCCCUCAGGAUAGCUGGCACUCGCUUGAGCGAGUCUCAUCUGGUAAAGCGAAUGAUUAGAGGCCUUGGGGCCGAAACGACCUCAACCUAUUCUCAAACUUUAAAUGGGUGAGAUCUCUGGCUUGCUUGAAACUUGAAGCCACGAGAUAUCAUGAAUAUAUGGAUCAGAGUGCCAAGUGGGCCAAUUUUGGUAAGCAGAACUGGCGCUGUGGGA
rnacentral:rRNA from 1 species